rnacentral:sRNA from 1 species
AUGUGUUAGCGGUUGAAAUGGCAUCCUUUUUUGAGGAACGAGAAAAAGAUAUAAUGGAAAACGCGACCACGC